CAAUAGCGUAUAUUAAAGUUGUUGCGGUAAAAAAGCUCGUAGUUGGAUUUCUACCGAAGAUAGCCGGUCGGGUCUUCGACCUUGUAUCUGGUUUUGUCUUUGGUAUCCUCAUAGGGAACGUUUCUGCGCUUUAUUGCGUGGUGCGGUAUCUAUGACUUUUACUUUGAGGAAAUUAGAGUGUUCACGGCAGGCAAACGCCUUGAAUAUAUUAGCAUGGAAUAAUAACAUAGGAUCUUCGUCCUAUUUUGUUGGUUUCUGGGGCUAAGAUAAUGAUUAAUAGGGAUAAUUGGGGGCAUCUGUAUCAACGCGUCAGAGGUGGAAUUCUUGGAUUGCGUUGCGACAAACUACUGCGAAAGCAUUUGCCAAGGAUGUUUUCAUUGA
rnacentral:rRNA from 1 species